ACCAGAGCGCAUGCGCAAGGGUGUGGGGAGGACGGGAGGGGCAGCCGCGGUCUUCCGGGGGGGAGGGGAGACCAGACGAGGCCUUUGGGGCGGGCGCCCGCUCGGACGGGCACGUGGGGCCCCUUCGUCCUUAGCGUCCGGGCGCCCCGCGCCAGUCCCCACCCCUGCCCCGGCCCUGUGGCGGCAGCUGGUGGGGAGAAAAACCGAAAUCAUCCCGCGCCACGGCCAUCAGAGUCGCGGCUGUGCUGAUGGUUUCUGGGAAGUGCUAGAAACGGGGCCAUAAAGAGAAUGGCGUCCAUUUACAUAAUGCUUUGUCUGCAUUUUGCAACUCUCUUCGUUAAGCCCGCAGAAACCCCACCUCCUACGCUGGUGUCGUUUUAGUCGCUGCUGCCUCGUCACACGUUUAAGACAAUGGAGUGCAUUUAUCCGGGCUCUUGGGGGGGUUCCUGCGGUUUCCCCCGCGAGGGUUACGCUCCUGCUGCUGCCUUUCGGCACCUUCCCCGCUCAGCGCAGCCAUCGCGCCCGCGCUGUCCGGGGGCGGCCCCCAAAUGGGCCCGCCAUCUUGGAGGACCUUUCCUGAGGGUGUGGAGCCGAGCUGCCCUCCCGCUGAGGAAAGGUCGCUGGGGCCGUUGGUGCUCCAGUUGUGAUUUCUGCCCGUUCCCUUUUUCCUUCGGUUGAGCGAGACAGAACAGGCCGAGUGCGCGGCGUGCUUUAGGAUCCUUUAUGGAAAGCGGCUAACGUGGCGGCCCCUCAGUCCCCCGCCCCCUUCCCCGGGGGGUGGCCGCCAUAUUUGCUGAACACAAAAUGGCGACACGUGUCCUGGAUUCGUCGCCAACGAGCAGUUGGGGUCGGCCUGAAAACUAGAAUGCGCCCCCCUCCCACCCCACCCAUGAUGAAUUCAUUUAGGCCCAGAGAGAUGAAGUGACUAAUUGAAGGUCACACAGUGUCCAGGAUGGAUUCCAGACCUUCUGAUAGACUUAUUGACCUGCACUAUCUUGUGGAUAUGUGAGUGAAUUCCACACCUCCCAUUUUACAGAUGAAGCCACUGAGAUACAGAGGAACUGACUAUAAAUAGUCACCACCCCACCCCUGGAGCCUCACAUGACUCUUCCAGGUUCAUUAAAGGGUUUAACAAGGUUGGGAAGAGCUGUCCGGUAUGUGACUAUGUGAUGCGUGAGGCACAGCAGGCUGUGAUAGAGACUAAUUGAUGGUGGUCUCAGCCUCUCUGGCCACUUCAGUUACCAUCUGCAUAUGGAUGAUACCCGGAUCACUCUCCAGACCAGACUAUCCAAUUGUUGACAUGGACAACUUCACUGGGAUGUUUUGAAGACUCAGCAGAAUGCAGCUCCUGCUCUUCCCCUGUUGCUCCUCCUCCAGUGUCCUGCCACGUGCAUCAUCUGCCAUGGUGUACUCUCUACCUUGACCUCCCCAGCUCAUCACAUCUCUUCAGAUGACACAUGGUCUUAUCACUGUAAUGUGGUAGUUGAGGCUGUGACUCUGGAGCCAGCCUGAUGGGGACUGAAUUCUGACUCAGCCACUUACUAUGUGACCUUGGAUCACUGAGAAAGAAGUCAAGACGCAGGCCCACUUUGCCCCUAUAUUAAUAUGGGCCUUGUUGAGACCAUUUGGAAGUGGAGCUCAGGCCUCAAAGUAGGCUGUUCCAAGGCUAUAAAUGUAAUCACAUCCUGUUACUGCUUGAUUCCGUCGAGUUUAAAAUAGCGUUGGAAACCUCCUAGGAAAAAAAGCUCCACCGUAACUUCUUGGCUAAGGAAGUAGUAUGUGCUGGCCAGAGCAGAAGGAGUAGCCAGGGCUCCCAAGUUCUAUUCUGGACCUGUUGAUUUGAGGUGUGAUGUUCAGCAAUCUGAGAUGAUGUUCUGUAGUGCUAAGGUUUCUCAUCCUUAGCACAGAGUUUGUGCUUGCAGGGAAAGAGGCCAACAUGCUGGUUUCCUGUCCUCUAGGAGAGUCUCAUUAUUAGAAGUCCUCCCUUUCAUUUGAAUUUCUGUGUCCCUACUUUUUUUUUAAAUGAAGAAACAUCCCCCACAGAGUUAAUACAGGAACCCCAGCCGUAUCAUCCAUGUUUUACUUGACUUCAUCUUAUCAGAAUUGCUUUCCUUUUAGCAGUGUGAUUUAGAUCAGCUCUUGUGAGGAAUGGGAACUUUGAUAGGGUUUAGGAAGAGGAAGGGAAAGUUUGUGUGGGGCACACACCUUGGACAACCAGAAAGGAACAUGAAGGGACCAGAAAUGAACAAAACUACGGGAGGUCUAGGAAUGGCAAAGUGGCACCUGUGCUUCGAACGCUCAGAUUAUGUAAAAGGAAUUGAAGCAGACACUGUGCGAGGGGAAGUCUCAGUCCCUCCUUGAGGAGCAUUUCUUGAGCCAUUUUUCAGGCUGCUCCAUGUGGCAUGUGGGAUCUUAGUUUCUAGACCAGGGAUUGAACCCACGCCCCCUUCAUUGGAAGCAUGGAUCACUGGACCAUCAAGGAAGUCCCAGCAAAUCUGAUUAACAAAUAGCCUAAUAGAAGACAGCUGGAUUCUCAUGCCUGCUUUUGUGCUCAAUGAUAUAUUGCUUUCCUUGAAGUAGAUGAAUGAAAUUCAACUUCAUACAGAUUUGUAUUUGGAAAAAGUAAAAGUAUUUUAAGAGCCUUUUCAGAUAAUUGUGGAUAUCUUUUUAUUCAAAGUCAUAAUAUUUUGAUAAAGGCAUUUAUUUACACAGCAGUAAAAAUUAUAUAUUAUACAUUGUGUGUGUGUGGGCUCAGUCACUAACUCAUGUCUGACUCUUUUGUGGACCCCUGGACUGUAGUCUGCCAGGUUCCUCUGCCCAUGUAAUUUUCCAGGCAAGAAUACUGGAGUGGGUUGCCAUUUCCUACUCCUUGGAUCUUUUUUGAUAUGUCACCAGAAUUGGACAGAUGGCAUAUUCUGAAAGGUUAGUUGCAGUGUGAGAUCUGAAACCUAUCAGUGAAUUUCUCAUACUCAGUUAUAUUAGGGCUUCCUUGUGGCUCAGCAGUAAAGAAUCCGCCUGCAGUGCAGGAGACAUGAGUUCUAUCCCUGGGUCAGGAGGAUGCCCUGGAGAAGGAAAUGACAAUCCACUCCAGUGUUUUUGCCUGGAAAAUCCCAUGGACAGAGGACCUUGGCAGGCUACAGUUCAUAGGGUUGCACAGAGUCAGACACUUCUUGGUGACUAAAAAGCAGCUAUAUUAAAGUCUGUUGGUCUGUCUUGUGCAUUGAA